rnacentral:misc_RNA from 1 species
GAUGAAGAAGUAGCGAAAUGCGAUAAGUAGUGUGAAUUGCAGAAUUCAGUGAAUCAUCGAAUCUUUGAACGCACAUUGCGCCCCUUGGUAUUCCAUGGGGCAUGCCUGUUCGAGCGUCAUUUGUACCUUCAAGCUUUGCUUGGUGUUGGGUGUUUGUCUCGCCUUUGCGUGUAGACUCGCCUUAAAAUAAUUGGCAGCCGGCGUAUUGAUUUCGGAGCGCAGUACAUCUCGCGCUUUGCACUCAUAACGACAGCGUCCAAAAGUACAUUUUACACUCUUGACCUCGGAUCAGGUAGGGAUACCCGCUGAACUUAAGCAUAUCAAUAAGCGGAGGA